UUAAAAAUAAGCUAAGCAAGCUUUUGGGUUCAUACCUCAAAUAUAAAGGAAAUUCCUUUUUUUUAAA
rnacentral:tRNA from 1 species